UGGGGAAUAUUGGGCAAUGGGCGGAAGCCUGACCCAGCAACGCCGCGUGAAGGAAGAAGGCUUUCGGGUUGUAAACUUCUUUUCUCAGGGACGAAGCAAGUGACGGUACCUGAGGAAUAAGCCACGGCUAACUACGUGCCAGCAGCCGCGGUAAUACGUAGGUGGCAAGCGUUAUCCGGAUUUACUGGGUGUAAAGGGCGUGUAGGCGGGAAAGCAAGUCAGAUGUGAAAACCAUGGGCUCAACCCAUGGCCUGCAUUUGAAACUGUUUUUCUUGAGUACUGGAGAGGCAGACGGAAUUCCUAGUGUAGCGGUGAAAUGCGUAGAUAUUAGGAGGAACACCAGUGGCGAAGGCGGUCUGCUGGACAGCAACUGACGCUGAGGCGCGAAAGCGUGGGGAGCAAACAGGAUUAGAUACC
rnacentral:rRNA from 1 species